rnacentral:rRNA from 1 species
GAUGAACGCUGGCGGCGUGCCUAAUACAUGCAAGUCGAGCGAACGGUCGAUAAGCUUGCUUCUCUGAUCUUAGCGGCGGACGUGCGAGUAACACGUUGAUAACCUACCUAUCUGACUGGGAUAACUUCGGGAAACCGGAGCUAAUACCGUAUAAUAUUUUGAACCUCAUGGUUCCAAAGUGAAAGACGGUCUUGCUGUCACUUAUAGAUGGAUCCGCGCUGCAUUAGCUAGUUGGUAAGGUAACGGCUUACCAAGGCAACGAUGCAUAGCCGACCUGAGAGGGUGAUCGGCCACACUGGAACUGGAACACGGUCCAGACUCCUACGGGAGGCAGCAGUAGGGAAUCUUCCGCAAUGGGCGAAGGCCUGACGGAGCAACGCCGCGUGAGUGAUGAAGGUCUUCGGAUCGUAAAACUCUGUUAUUAGGGAAGAACAUAUGUGUAAGUAACUGUGCACAUCGUGACGGUACCUAAUCAGAAAGCCACGGCUAACUACGUG